UGGUGCGUUGCGGUGCCUAGC
rnacentral:misc_RNA from 1 species